GACGAGGGAUCCUAGCGUUGCUCGGAAUUAUUGGGCGUAAAGCGGGUGUAGGUGGCUUGGUAAGUCAGAUGUGAAAGCCCUGGGCUUAACCCAGGAAGUGCAUUGAUACUGCUAAGCUUGAGUGCGAGAGAGGUUAAUAGAAUACCUGGUGUAGUGGUGAAAUACGUAGAUAUCAGGUGGAACACCGGAGGCGAAGGCGGUUAACUGGCUCGACACUGACACUGAGACCCGAAAGUGCGGGGAGUCAAACAGG
rnacentral:rRNA from 1 species